rnacentral:rRNA from 1 species
CAGUCACACGAGUUUGAUCAUGGCUCAGAUUGAACGCUGGCGGCAUGCCUUACACAUGCAAGUCGAACGGUAACGGGCCUUCGGGUGCCGACGAGUGGCGAACGGGUGAGUAAUGCAUCGGAACGUACCUUUCAGUGGGGGAUAACGAAUCGAAAGAUUCGCUAAUACCGCAUACGACCUGAGGGUGAAAGCGGGGGAUCGCAAGACCUCGCGCGAGAGGAGCGGCCGAUGGCGGAUUAGCUAGUUGGUGGGGUAAAGGCCCACCAAGGCGACGAUCCGUAGCUGGUCUGAGAGGAUGAUCAGCCACACUGGAACUGAGACACGGUCCAGACUCCUACGGGAGGCAGCAGUGGGGAAUAUUGGACAAUGGGGGCAACCCUGAUCCAGCCAUGCCGCGUGUGUGAAGAAGGCCUUCGGGUUGUAAAGCACUUUUGUUGGGGAAGAAACCGGCCGGGUUAAUACCCUGGUUGAAUGACGGUACCCAAAGAAUAAGCACCGGCUAACUUCGUG